CCCGAAGCAAACUGAAAAUUCAGGCCCGUGUCGGUCCCAGGAGCGGUUUAAAUUCCACAAUCGUCUCCUCCCUAUACCCGGGACUUGAAAUAGCUGUAUAAGAUGGGGAGCAGUUCAGUGCAUGUCUGGAAAGACAGGAGCUGAUUGCAAUUCUGAAGUUGGACUCAAACUGAAACAGUGACCCCUUUUGGGUCUUGAGCCUGCCAUCCUGGAACUUACACCAUCAGCUCUCCUGGGUCUACUGAUUGUGCAUCUUGGGAUUUUCCAGCCUCCAUAAUUGUAGCCACAGACCUGAGCAAAAUUGUAUUUUUAUGGAGAAGAAGAAUUUUUAAAAAUGCGAAUGAGGACUACCUCUAGAUUCUCAGUACUAGUGAUGGUGAAUUGGAACAUUCGGUAAGAGAAGAACGCCUCAAGAGAGCAUGUGCAAAGCUGCGCAAACACACUGCGCCUGUGGCCCCUCCCAAGGGUUGGCAGAUCACAGCGCAUGUGGACAGCCUACCCCAAAGGAAGAAUCAGGGGAGAAGGGAUGCAACCCCCUGGAAGUACUCCAACCUAUCAACCCCAGGUCAAAGGUCCAGCUGCACGCAUUCUCUCAAGCUGCCUGCUUGGCUCUCUUCCAAGUGUACUUCACUUCCUUUUGUUCCUGCUCUAAAGUGUGUUUAUAAACUUUCACUCCUGCUCUGAAACUUGCCGAGGUCUCUCUCUCUGCCUUAUGCCCCUCCGUCGAAUUCUUUCUUCCGAGGAGGCAAGGACUGAGGUUGCUGCAGACCCGUAUGGAUUCGCCGCCUGUCACAUCACAACACCACGGUGGUGUAGACCAGACGGGUAUUGUUUUGCUGCUUUUCUUUCUAAAAUUUUUUUUUUCUUUUUAGACGGAGUUUUGGUCUUUCGCCCAGGCUGGA